AUAGUAGCCUAGUGGUCAGAGCAUCUGCCUUAGAUGCAGGAGGUCAAAGGUUUAAUCCCCAGCUGAGAUA